UGUGGUUUAAAUUUCACUGCUGAAAGUCCAAACACUGAAGAGCAAAUCCAUUGAUGCGCAGCUCCACAACUCCCAAACUGAGCAUGCCAGUGGCGAGGAGAAUUAUUCACAAUUACACAAUUAACACACUGCUGCUUUCAAUCAAUCAAAUUGCAUUGUGCCGUUAUUCGUUAUUAUCAUUGGCAUUUCAGGGGCAAAGGUGAGCUCGGCUAUUACAGGUACUCCUCUAAUUAAAACCUAACACUACCAUUAAAAUGAGGUCAGCGAACUGUCUAUAAAUCCUUUAAAGAAUCCUGAGAAAAACACGUAUUUCCAAAAAAAACCUAAACUAAAAUUGAUUUAACUGGAGCACUAAAUUGUUUUAUUAAUGAUUUCCGAAGAAUCAUGUGACAUUGAAGCCUGAAAUGAUGAGGAAACAGGUUGUUCCAGUCAUACAAUUAAUGCAUUUUAAGUAGCUUCGGAUGGACAGCAUGUUCUAAAUGGCGAGUGACUAAGUACUAGAUACGUAUGCCUGUUGCUUGGGAGAAAAACAAUGAACGGCAUUACUCUUUACUGAUUGCAGGCUCUUACCGGACAGUGUUUGUUUUUCUUGAAAAAUCACAGACAAGGCCAUAACCACUACAAACAUAUCCCAGGAGGUGAAUUUUGGAAUGCUUGACUGCUCAGAGUAUCCUGCACAAUCUGGAGUUUCUUUUUACUCAAGUCAUGAACCAAGCCCUCAAGUCUCAGGAGGUACAAAUGAAGAUCCGGUUACUGUUAGAUCUUGAAUGGCAGAAGCAGUCCCGUUUCUACUUCAUAGAUGACACAGACAGAUGCAUAAUCCAAAUCACAGAUGUGGAGUUUGAUUACUGUAAUGAGCAUCUGGGCUGCACUGAUCAUCUUGUGAUUACUUCCCUUACUGACAGGCCAGUAUAGAUACAUUCAAGACGCCAGGAUCAUUAUAAAUACUGGGUGUGUUCACAUUUGUUGGGUUUGGUUUGAUUAAAUCAAUUGCUCUAUUUAGCUCAUUUCAUUUGAAUGAGUGUGAACAUUGCCAAAGGGUGCACGGAGCAUGCGUACCAAGGCAGAUUGAACUUUUUUGUAGAGUUUUUUUCUGAAAUUAUUUGCUAUUUAAUAUCAAGCAUCUUUCAGCAUUUCAAAGAGUUAGAUUUAGCAUGUUCUAUCUUUCUUUUUUUUCUCCAGGUUAUUCUCAUACUGCCUGUAACAUUGCCUAUACAUACUGUAUAUAAUAUUUAGGUCUGGACUCUGUUGAGGCCAUUCCAUUACUCUCUUUGUUUCAUCAACUGAUUUUCUCUCCAAAUUAUAUUAGAUUUUACAUAAUUUUUGCAAAUUGCUCUACAUUUUUCUGUCCAUUACAUUAGCAGUUUGUUUGGGAUCAUUAUCAUGCUGAAAAAUAAAACUCAUAUUCAUAUUAGGGGCUUUCUAGUAGGAUGUACAUGACGAAGUAAAACCUGCCUGUGCUUUUUAUGGAGUCAAUCUGGGGCCAUAUAUACUUGCAACAUGAAAGUUUUGCAAACAAAAAAUAAAAUAUUGAGCAAAAAAAUU